CAAAAGUGGAUGCUUCAGAGCAACCGGGACCACCUGAGUCAGAGCCUGCGUCUCUCCGUCAUCCCUGCCCAGUCACUGGUCUCUCUCCCGUCUGACUGCUGGUUCCUUGAGGAGGAACUAGAUCAACAAUGUCGGGCUCAAGCGUUCAUCACCCCUGCCCCCCU